AUAUUGAAUUAAGAUAGAAAUUAUAAAAGAAGUCCAUAUGUUAAUAUUUGGCUUUAGGACACAAAAUAUGUCGAGCUGCCACUAAAUAGAGGGAGUAUGUCUUGAAUUUAUUUUAGGGGAUUUGCAGUAGUACCCUUUAUUUUUUUCACCUUUUAAUAUGUACCCUAUUUUUAAAAAUUAUUGAUUUGGUAGUGUAACGACCCGAACGAUCGUUUUGAGCUUUUAUACUUUGAUCGCCAGUUCUCGAGCAUGACUUAACCCGUGUAAUAUAUUAUGACUGAUGUAGAUUGUUGAUAUUUGUUUUCACGCAAAUCAGAAUGAAUUUGAAAGAACCGUCUCAGUUGAAAGCUUUAAUUUGGAAGGUUUGACCAAGAUUUGACUUUUUUAUAUAUGAACUCGGUUCGGAAUUUUUAUGAUUUAGUUAGCUUCAUUAGGUGAUUUAUGACUUAGGAGCGUGAUCAGAAUUGGUUUUGGAGGUCCAAUGUAGAGUUAGGCUUGAAUUGGCGAAGUUAGUAUUUUGGCGAUAUCCGGUUGAUAGAUGAGAGCUUGAUCCGAGGAUUGCAAUGGAAUUUCGAGGGUUUUUUUUAACUUUGUUAUGUCAUUUGGAAUGUGUGUGCAAAAUUGCAGGUCAUUCGGACCAGGUUUGGUUAGGUUUUUUAUUGUAAGCGUAUUUUGAAAGUUUUUAGAAACCUUAGGCUUGAAUUCGAUGUGAAUUGAUAGAUUUGGUGUUGUUUGAGGUAUUUUGAUGAUUGGAACAAGUUUGAAUGAGGUUUUAGGAUGUAAUGGUUCUUUUGGUUAAGGUCCCUGGGGCCUCAGGUGGUCAAUCGGACCAUUUUUGGCUUUGAGGAUUUACAAAAUUUUUGUUCAGAUAUUGCAGGCUUUUAAGCCUUUGCGAUUGCAUGGGGUCCAUUGCAAUCACAUAGAAGGAUUUUGGGUUGACCUGAGUUUAGCCUUCAUGUUCGCAUUUGAGGUCUCGCAUUCGUCGAGGGAUUUGAUCUUGUGCUUCGUGUUCGCAUGUAGAGUUCCACGUUCGCGUAUAAGGAUUUGGGGGUCCAGUGGAUUUGCUCUUCGCGUUCGCAUCAAUUGGUUCGCGUUUCCAUAGGUCUGGGAAAUAAAGCAUCACAUUCGCAUGUAGUAUCGCGUUCGCAUAGUGUAUUUUUGGUGUCUUGGAAUUUCGCUCCUCGCAAUCACGAGGCAUGGGCCGUGAUCGCGAUGAAAGAAUAUCAGAACUGGGCAGGAAGUUUAUAAGUCAUUUCAUUCGCGAUUUUGAGCCAUUUUCCCCCAUUGCUUAGUAUUUUGAGAGUUUUUUGAAGGAGAUUAAACAUGGAUUCAAGCAGAAUUGAUUUGAGGUAAGAUUUUUUAACCUAAAACCUGAUUCUAUUGUGAAAUUAACCUAGAAAUUCAUGGAACCUAAGCUAAAUGGAAGAACUAGGGCAUGGGAUUCUGAACUUUUGAAUUGGGAUUUGAAGGGUCAUUUGAGGUCGGAUUUGAGAAAUUUUGAUAUAUAUGAACUCAUGGGAAGAUAAGGAAUCCAUUCAUGUAGAAAUUUCUGAGUUACGAGAAGUGCACUCGGGCUCGGGUUUUGCUAAAUUCAAACUUUUUGAUAUUUUUUGAUUGUUUUUGCUUGGUCUUUAUUCCCUUAGCAUAUUGUGACGUAUUCGUUCUGAUUUUGGAUAGAUUCAAUACAUGUGGAAGACGAUCUGAGGGGAAAAGUCGUCGCGAGCUAGAGAUUUUGGUGGUUCGAGGUGAGUAAUAAUUGUAAAUUGUCACAACCCAGACUCGGUCGUGAUGGCGCCCAAUCCUAAAGCUAGGCAAGCCUGACCAACAGUCGCUCUCAAUUCCACAAUAAAUCUCAAAACCGACAAUUUAAGGAGAAUGUAAUCGUUUUAGAAUAAUAAUCCAAUAUUUAUAGUAAAAUAAUACGGAGAGACACGAAAUCUGACAAACACUCCUAUAAGACCUGGGGUCACGAGUCUAAAGCCUCUAAAACAGACUGGAUAACAAUAUCUGAACGAAAAUACACAAGUCUGGAAAUGUAUAUAUAUA
rnacentral:lncRNA from 1 species